AAAAAAAGAAGGUACGAAUGAAUUGGGAAUUUGGAAUUGUGUCUGUGACUGAGACUAAGCUCUCAACUUAAAACCCUUGCUGUUGUUCACUGUCGCCGUCGAAACGGGGUUCCUCUGUGGUAGUUGGAAGGUCGCACCGUGCCACUAUUGCACCAGGCUGCCUCGUCAUCGGAGGGGGUCACGGUGAAGUGUAUUCUGCUUUUGUGUAUGUUAUAAUUUCAAUAUGAAUUCAGAUCUUAUAAUCCUCCGUUUGAUCCUAUGAAGGACAGACACUUGAAGAAAAGAAUCAAAAGAUUGAAAGACAUGGUUGAGCCAGAUAAAAAUUGCGAGACUAGGGUUGAAGAUGUUGCUUGGCCUUGCUCCCUUUCAGAGUCUGAGAUUGCUUGGCUAAUGUAUUCCGAUCACAUUGGGAUGGCAAACGUGUGCUUAUUAUUCCAAAAUGUCUAAAAAAUUUCCGACGAUAAGUAUUCAUAUCUAAUCAUGGUAGUUGAGUUUUGGAGUGUGAUUGAAAAUUUGAAACGUUCUGCAAAAUUUCUCAUAAUUAUUUUUCCUAGUGUGCACAUGGCUUGAAGAAACUAAAUGGGCUCUAUUAGCCAUGGUCUUUUGGUCUUUUGGUGCACUUGGAUGAGGGCUAUUGCUUUCUGCACUUUUCAGUUGCUUCUUGGGCUCUCUCUUUGUCUUUUAAAAUGGCCAAUCCGAAAUGUAAUUAAAUUACAUUUGGGAAUGCACUCCCUUUUUUGCUUAUGGAAUGACCAAUCUGGAAGGUCAAAAAAUAUUCUGAAAAGAGUGUAGGAAGCAACUUAGGAAGUGCUGGAAGUAACAACCUUGGAUGAGGUGUAAUGGGAAAUUAUGGGAUGGAACCAGAUUCUAAGGUGUAUGUAUGUAGUGCUGAACUGUGAUUUCAGUGGCUUGGCAACCUCCACCUACAUCUUAUCUAAAAUGUAAUGUAAAUGUUGUGUUCUUUAAUUUACAACACAAGAUUGGUGGCUUUGGCAUGUGUUUAAGGGAUGAAAAGGGAGUUUUGGUUGGGGAGAUUUUGUUAUGUAGAUGCAUGAGGGAGAGGCUUUUGCUUUGCUACAACUACAAAGUGUUUGAUAGAAUGCACCAGCCCACUUUAGAUGUUUGAGUGUUGAGUCCUAUAGGAACAUAUCUUAUGUAAUUGCUCAUUGCAAGGGCAUAUCUUAUGUAAUUGCUCAUUGCAAGGGCAUAUCUUAUGCUAGUUUCCAUGUUUUCAAUUAUAUUCCGUUUUGUAUUGA